CCUACGGGUGGCAGCAGUGGGGAAUAUUGGUCAAUGGGCGCAAGCCUGACCCAGCAACGCCGCGUGCAGGAAGAAGGCUUUCUGGUUGUAAACUUCUUUUCUGAGGGACGAAGACCGUGACGGUACCUCAUGCCUACGCCACUGCUAACUACGUGCCAGCAGCCGCUGUAAUACGUAGGUGGCAAGCGUUCUCCGGAUUUAUGGGGUGUAAAGGGCGUGUAGGCGGGAAAGCAAGUCAGAUGUGAAAACUCAGGGCUCAACCCUGAGCCUGCAUUUGAAACUGUUUUUCUUGAGUGCUGGAGAGGCAAUCGGAAUGCAGGGUGUAGCGGUGAAAUGCGUAGAGAUACGGAGGAACACCAGUGGCGAAGGCGGAUUGCUGGACAGUAACUGACGCUGAGGCGCGAAAGCGUGGGGAGCAAACAGGAUUAGAUACCCGUGUAGUC
rnacentral:rRNA from 1 species